CUACGUGCCAGCAGCCGCGGUAAUACGGAGGAUGCGAGCGUUAUCCGGAUUUAUUGGGUUUAAAGGGUGCGUAGGUGGGCUGUUAAGUCCGCGGUGAAAGUUUGUCGCUUAACGAUAAAAUUGCCGUUGAAACUGGUAGUCUUGAGUAUAGAUGAAGUAGGCGGAAUGCGUGGUGUAGCGGUGAAAUGCAUAGAGAUCACGCAGAACUCCGAUUGCGAAGGCAGCUUACUAAGGUAUAACUGACACUGAAGCACGAAAGCGUGGGUAUCAAACAGGAUUAGAUACCCUGGUAGUCCACGCAGUAAACGAUGAUUACUAGGUGUUGGGGGUCGAACCUCAGCGCCCAAGCUAACGCGAUAAGUAAUCCGCCUGGGGAGUACGUACGCAAGUAUGAAACUCAAAGGAAUUGACGGGGACCCGCACAAGCGGUGGAGCAUGUGGUUUAAUUCGACGCAACGCGAGGAACCUUACCAGCGUUUGACAUC
rnacentral:rRNA from 1 species